AGUGAACGCUGGCGGUAGGCCUAACACAUGCAAGUCGAACGGCAGCACAGUAAGAGCUUGCUCUUACGGGUGGCGAGUGGCGGACGGGUGAGGAAUACAUCGGAAUCUACUUUUUCGUGGGGGAUAACGUAGGGAAACUUACGCUAAUACCGCAUACGACCUACGGGUGAAAGCAGGGGAUCUUCGGACCUUGCGCGAUUGAAUGAGCCGAUGUCGGAUUAGCUAGUUGGCGGGGUAAAGGCCCACCAAGGCGACGAUCCGUAGCUGGUCUGAGAGGAUGAUCAGCCACACUGGAACUGAGACACGGUCCAGACUCCUACGGGAGGCAGCAGUGGGGAAUAGUGGACAAUGGGCGCAAGCCUGAUCCAGCCAUACCGCGUGGGUGAAGAAGGCCUUCGGGUUGUAAAGCACUUUUGUUGGGAAAGAAAAGCAGAAGGUUAAUAACCCGCUGUUCUGACGGUACCCAAAGAAGAAGCACCGGCUAACUGCGUG
rnacentral:rRNA from 1 species